UCUACUCCUACGGAAGACAGCAGUGAGGAAUAUUGGACAAUGGGCGCAAACCUGAUCCAGCCAUGCCGCGUGCAGGAAGACGCAUCUAUGGUGUGUAAUCUGCUUUUGUACGGAAAGAAACACUCCCUCGAGAGGGAACUUGACGGGACCGUAAGAAUAAGGAUCGGCUAACUCCGUGCCAGCAGCCGCGGCAAUAUAAU
rnacentral:rRNA from 1 species